CGGAGGGGACCCCAACACCCCCAGAGACUCCAACAACACCCCGAGGGACACCAACAACACCCGGAGGUGUCACCAACAACACCCGGAGGACCCCAACAACACCCAGAAGGACCCCAACAACACCCGGAGGGACCCCAGCAACACCUGGAGGACCCCAACAACAACCCCAGGGACCCCAACAACACCCGGAGGGACCCCAAAAACACCUGGAGGUGUCACCAACAACACCUGGAGAACCCCAACAACACCCGGAAGGACCCCAACACCCCCAGGGAUCCCAACAACAACUCCAGGGUCCCCAACAACACCUGGAGGACCCCAACAACACCCGGAGGGGUCCCCAACACCCGGAGGUGGCCCCAACAACACCUGGAGGACCCCAACAACACCCUGAAGGUCCCCAACAACACCCGGAGGGACCCCAACAACACCCAGAGAGGUCCCCAACACCCGGAGGGGUCCCCAACACCCACAACUGUCCCCACCAACACCCGGAGGGGUCCCCCACAACACCCGGAGGGGUCCCCAACACCGUCACCAACACCCGGAGCUGUGAUUGUCCGCAGAGCGCCCCAUAGAGCCCCAUAACCACCCCAUAGGGCCCCAUAGCCACCCCAUAGCUCCCCACAGUGCCCCAUAGCCACCCCAUAGGGCCCCAUAAGCACCCCAUAUGGACUUGUAUCCACCCCAUAGCACCCCACAGCGCCUUAUAACCACCCUAUACCCAUCCCAUAGUGCCCCACAGUGCCCCAUAGCACCCC
ensembl:lncRNA